rnacentral:rRNA from 1 species
UACGUAGGUGGCAAGCGUUGUCCGGAUUUAUUGGGUUUAAAGGGUGCGUAGGUGGGUUGAUAAGUCAGUGGUGAAAUCCCCGAGCUUAACUUGGGAACUGCCAUUGAUACUAUUGAUCUUGAAUACCGUGGAGGUCAGCGGAAUAUGUCAUGUAGCGGUGAAAUGCUUAGAUAUGACAUAGAACACCAAUUGCGAAGGCAGCUGGCUACGCGAAUAUUGACACUGAUGCACGAAAGCGUGGGGAUCAAACAGG